rnacentral:hammerhead_ribozyme from 1 species
GCAUUGCUGAUGAGUCUUAAACAGGACGAAACAGCUGUUCAGUGC